CCACGCAUCUCUUUUGUUCCUGGGAAAGACGGACGAAAGGGUCGGGGGUAAAAAAAGAGAUGGAAAACCCUCUCGCCAGAUAGAUGCACACGGACAAAGCAGUGGGUAAAGGUCGAAAAAGUACGACGGGUCUGAGUAGAACUUCAUGGCGUCGGUGGAAUCCUCCCUGAUGUGUAAAAAUGAUAAUGAGACGACUGAAAAAUGCUCACUGAUCAGAUGCUGAGGGCUUUUAAUGUUUUUUUUUUAGUGACGCCUGCGGCACCUGAAGGCGGUGAGGUCGCCGAGUGGAGGAGGCCGGUCGCUGCUGUCGUGCAUCUGAGCCACCGAGCUCGGAGUGCUGCCUUUGGACAAAACCUGCUGGUCCUGGACGGGCGAGCUCCGGAAGGCCUUCCUCAGGUUGAUCUCCUGCAGAGACACUGCGAGACAGGCGCUAGGAGUCAAUCGCAACGCACGUGAGGAUGAAAAACCAGUGAUUUAAUGGUCUGGACGACCUCCAGGGAACUGACCCUCCUCCACGCUGGAGUCAAGCUGGGUGACCUUGACGGCCAAGCGGUCUAUGCGGUCCUGCAGCGAGUUGGCGCGCACGUAAAAGGUGUUGGCCUCGUUAAAAAGCUCCCCGAAAACAUUUUCUGCAUGGUUGCCUGCAAAAAAAAAAGGGGGCAGGGAACCAUUAGUGGAGGUAGAGAAGCCGUUAAUACACAGAGAGGUGUUUCAAACCAGAAUAAGCACAGCGUAUUGAACAAAAAGGACAAUAUGUCUUAUGUUUGUAUUAUAUAUUAUAUUACUCUGGAUUAUAAACACUAGGUGUUUGGUCCCCAUAGACGCAACAGCAUUAACGGCACCCGUCAAACCGCUCUGAUCCACUUAUUGUGGCAUCUAUCAUUAGGCUGCCUGUGUUUGUGCCUUCGCUCACUCUCUCUCCAUCUUAUCUGCCCUUACAAAGCCUCACGGUAAGCUGUAAGCUCCUUUAAGUCCAGGCAGACACAUAUACACGUAUGUGCGCACGCACGCACACACACACACACACACACCAGAGCAUUAAUGAGCCAGAUGUCCAGGAGUAAAUUCGCUUCCCAAAAUUGUGUUUCCCUUUCACAUUUGACUUCAGUGCGCACACAGUAGCACUUAAAACACAGGUGAAUGAUUGUAUAGACAUCGUCCUUUAUGAUUUACAAAUCAAACCCUCUCUGCUUCUGUACUAUUGGGCUGAUUUGAAUGUAGGUUAUACAGUAGAUGUCGGAAUUGUCUAGUGUUGGAUAAUAAUGUACGUGCACUUAAACAGAUGAUACAUUAUUUGUGUUUAAUGUUUUUUAAGUUAAACAUCUUGUGUUCUUUAUAGUUUCCCCUUCUGUGAUUCACGUUAAAGAAGCAUCUGAACGUGCCGCGGUACAAACUAAACACGAGUAACUGUGAUCUUACUCAGACUACUGAGCUGGCGAAUGAUAGCGGACAGCGUGUUGUUGGUGACACAUUCCAGCUCGCUGCCGAUCCCAUCAGGCACCGCACCUUGGCACAGGUGCCGAGGCUGAAUGUUUCUCUUGAGCAAAGGCAUGACCUCCUCUCACAUCUCGUCCACAGCACCUGCUGGGGGACAGAGGACGGCUCGUUGUACGUCAACACCAUAAGCAUGAAGCUAUACGUCAAGUGGGUCAAACAAGGUGUGUAAGUGCGUUCAUGUUAUUAAACUGAGCGAUGACACGUUGAAUCCAGGUUACUGAUACAGGAUCUUUGAUGCUUUCCAGCAUUGCUGCAUACUAAUAAUUUCAGAGGCGGAUUAUACAAAUAAAAUAUAGAAAUAGGAUUCUUUUUUUUUUUUUAACCACUGCUGUAAUUUUCAAUUUGAUCCCACUAAAAUUAACACGUGACCCUGCAAGCUGAAAUUAUUUUUGUUUUGAUUAUAUUAGUUUUAAGGAAUUAAAGGAAGUGUAUUUGACAGCUUCAAAAUGAAACCUCUCCUGCUUUUGGGGACAUUUGCCUUUGGAUGUCACAAUUUAUCACCACCUAUCAAAGUGGUACGCCUAUUGUUAUUGGCCUUUUUUAAAAAAAACAUUGCACAAGCUCAUCACAGCUGUUUUCAGUGUGACUACAGAUGUGGCAGUUUUUCCAUUGAAUUUGCAAGUCACUUUACACGCCCGAAUUAAAUAAACUCGACCCACCCAAACAAGAGGUUGGGUGAUUGCCAGUAAUUACAGAUUGAGAAGAGCCAGCACACCAGUAACAAGAAGAACAAGCCUGGAUGUUUGAUGAUAUAUGGAGCUGCGUCACCGGGAACAACAAAAUGAAGUUCACAUUGAGAAUUUUAACAAAUAUUAAGCCCAAUAUAAAGUCCUACAUUUUGGGUUUACUUUUUCAAAUGAUUAAAACUAUUAGCCUGGAUUAGCCUGGACAAUAAGGGAUAUAUUUUACAAGCAAAUCAAGGGCUUUAGAUCUUUACACAGGCCAAACCUACUUCCGCUGAGUAUGUGAGUCCGUUAACAAAAUAAUCAAGAUCCUCACCCAAAACAUACUCUUUGAAUGGCAUAAUUACUGCCAGUAUUAAAACGGAAUUUAUGAAUAUGCAAAACCAUCAUUACAAUGUAUUGUUUUCCACACAAUUCCCUUGCUGGGGGUGUUGGGGGGGGGCUCUCUGAAGCGGGCUUUCAAACGUCAGACAGCAGGUAACUCAAUCACACGGGCGCGUAAAAGCAACGGACCUGUAAUAAGUCAGCGACACGUCGUCCUACCAUAGAGGUGGGCGAGCUGGUCUGGAGCCCUGGACGUGCGUUUGUUUCCCACGUCAGCACGCCGCGAUGGAGCGGUAACGGUCGGUCCCGUGCAGUUCCGUCCGAGUUGAGCCGACCCUCGGCCGGCCCGCUGCAGCCGUGCGCUGGACGUUGGCUUCCGUCAUCUCUGCAUGGCUGAGUUCACUCUGAAAACAAAUCUCUCCGGUCCAAAUCACAGCUUGAGCCUCGGGGGAUUUGUCUAGCAGAUUUACGCCAGUCAUCCAAUCACAGCCAUCAAGCCGGCCGUAUGACAUCCAGUGUUUCCUGUGCGGAUGUAUUAAUGCUAUUUUUUAUUUUUUUUCGAAAGUCAUUUGCGGCCUUCUAUGAAUUGGAUAUUGACACAGCUAUUUCCAACUAUUAAUAGUAACAACUGCUUCAAAGCUGAAACAGCCCCUUAAUAUGGAAGUCUGAAAAUCUAUUAAUUUGUGCCAGACAUAAAACACAUUUAAUUUAUAUACAUUUGUAACUUGGAAUAAACGUGAAAAGAGCUUUAGCCUUUGAUUUUUUCUUUUUCUCACAGAUGGCAUCAUCUGGAUUGCAGGACGGACUGGUGUAACCCAGAUACGAGGGCUUAAAUCUUAAUAAAUAGAACAACCUGAUAUUAUGGCUCGUAAUGAGUAUCGCUUUACAUGUGUGUUCCUUUUCUUUAGCCUUUUGUUUUGAUGCUUUUGAUGGUUUUAUGUGACACACUUUGAGUUGCCUGGUUGUUGGAAUGUGCUCCACAAAUAAACCUUCUGGCCUUGCUGCUUUCA